rnacentral:rRNA from 1 species
UACGUAGGGUGCAAGCGUUAAUCGGAAUUACUGGGCGUAAAGCGUGCGUAGGCGGUUCGUUAUGUCUGCUGUGAAAGCCCCGGGCUUAACCUGGGAAUGGCAGUGGAAACUGGCGGGCUUGAGUGUGGCAGAGGGGGGUGGAAUUCCGCGUGUAGCAGUGAAAUGCGUAGAUAUGUGGAGGAACACCGAUGGCGAAGGCAGCCCCCUGGGUUAACACUGACGCUCAUGCACGAAAGCGUGGGGAGCAAACAGG